rnacentral:lncRNA from 1 species
GAGAGGCUCAGCUGACAACAGAAAAAGGACAGGAAAGAAGAAGGGAGAAAAGGUGGAAAAGGUCAUGUUCGGACUCCAGACCUGGUUUAUGGGAAAACAUCCUCAUCCAGAAUCAGAGGUUUUGUCUUGACCUCUUGAUGCUUGUGUGUUUUUGGUCAGCUGUCCCAUUUACUGUUUCCCAUUUCUAGUGAGUGAGUAGGCAGGGGGCUGGGGCAGCAGACAGAGUCAGCGGCAGGGACACGUCUCAGGCAUCCGAACCCCCUGGGUGCUGCUCCUGUGUGCGUUUGCUGGUCUCCCCCCAGAGACUCUGAGAAGCCGACUGGAUGCUCUCAUUUUAACAACACACACCUCUCCUCUUCUUGCUCCUUCUCCGAGCCAGAAACUACAUGAUCUACAGACGCGUUUGGGGAGGACUGUCCCGGAUGACUCUAACGGACCUUUCAACGAAACAUGAAAGGAAUAGGAAUGUUUCGAAGUGAACACAGAGGCCAAAGGGAGAGAAAGCCUGGAGGGAGACCACCAAGUGGCUAGUGACUAGCUGAACUUUUCUCCUAGGAAGAAAUUUGAUUCUAAGCUAUAAAUUUGGAUGUAUAGGUGUCAAAAUAUUAACAUUUGUUUAGCUGAUGACAUUACAGGUAACUUAAUUUUUUCUUCCUGCUUAUUUGUGUUUCCUAACCUGUUAAUCUUUUAACACUUUACAUGCCAUAUUCUUAAGUUCUACAAGGCACGUUAGAGAAAUUACAUUUUCUAUAUUGGAAGUGUAUUUAUAAUCAAAAUAUUAAAUAGAUUAUUGCCUCAAGAAGAAAAAGAA